rnacentral:lncRNA from 1 species
AACGGCCUCAAGGAAGACUAACCAUCUGCAAUACUAGAAGCCAUGGCUGAGGGAUCAGUGAUGUUCAGUGAUGUGUCCAUAGACUUCUCUCAGGAGGAGUGGGACUGCCUGGACCCUGUUCAGAGGGACUUAUACAGAGAUGUGAUGUUGGAGAACUACGGCAAUCUGGUUUCAAUGGGUAAGGGCAUCUGUACCAGUGAUUCCCAGUUCUCCUCUGGAAUGUCUCCUUCUUCCACAGUGAAUUUCUCAGCUGCUUUUCAGGACUUUACACUCCUAAGCCUCAAGUGAUCUCCUUAUUGGAACAAGGGAAAGAGCCCUGGAUGGUUGGCAGAGAGCUUACAAGAGGCCUGUGUUCAGAUCUGGAAUCGAUGUGUGAAACCAAGUUAUUAUCUCUAAAGAAGGAAGUUUAUGAAAUAGAAUUAUGCCAGAGGGAGAUAAUGGGACUUACAAAGCAUGGCCUUGAGUACUCCAGUUUUGGAGAUGUUUUGGAAUAUAGAAGCCACCUUGCAAAACAACUGGGAUAUCCAAAUGGGCAUUUUAGUCAAGAAAUAUUCACUCCUGAAUACAUGCCCACAUUUAUUCAACAGACAUUCCUUACUCUCCAUCAAAUAAUUAAUAAUGAAGACAGACCCUAUGAAU